rnacentral:rRNA from 1 species
AUUGAACGCUGGCGGCAGGCCUAACACAUGCAAGUCGAGCGGCAGCGGGAAAGUAGCUUGCUACUUUUGCCGGCGAGCGGCGGACGGGUGAGUAAUGCCUGGGGAUCUGCCCAGUCGAGGGGGAUAACUACUGGAAACGGUAGCUAAUACCGCAUACGCCCUACGGGGGAAAGCAGGGGACCUUCGGGCCUUGCGCGAUUGGAUGAACCCAGGUGGGAUUAGCUAGUUGGUGAGGUAACGGCUCACCAAGGCGACGAUCCCUAGCUGGUCUGAGAGGAUGAUCAGCCACACUGGAACUGAGACACGGUCCAGACUCCUACGGGAGGCAGCAGUGGGGAAUAUUGCACAAUGGGGGAAACCCUGAUGCAGCCAUGCCGCGUGUGUGAAGAAGGCCUUCGGGUUGUAAAGCACUUUCAGCGAGGAGGAAAGGUCAGUAGCUAAUAUCUGCUGGCUGUGACGUUACUCGCAGAAUAAGCACCGGCUAACUCUGUGCCAGCAGCCGCGGUAA